UCGAAUGCAUUCCAAUAAAUUCACAUAAUUCUAUAAAUUUUUUUUCAAAAAUUCUAUUCGUAGAUCAUAUCGCGAUAUCCCAUGAUCAAGCAUCCACAAUCCUAUACAGAAUCAAUUUCAAUAAUUAGAAAGAAUACGAAUACCAUAUUUCAAUGGUUUAGAUUGGGUCCGAUCAUCUAAUUUCAUCUAAUCAAAAUCUAAUUAGGACAUAAAUAAUCCAAAGUUUGACUAUCAGAUCAAAUCAGAUUCGAAGUGAUAGGACCGAGGUUUCUUCAUCGAUUUCAUAAAAUCAAGUGGAGAGAGAAAAUCAGAGGAGAGAGAAUUCAUGAGGUACAAUUCGAAUUGAUCAGGUGACACAAUCCAACAUUACGAUUGGUCCAAUAUCUCGAUUGGUGAAAUCAACAUGAUCAAAUCAAGUCAUGGCUAGAUCGGGA
rnacentral:lncRNA from 1 species